GGGCUGGUAGUUCAGGGGUAUGAAUGCCUGGCUUGCAUCCAGGAGGUCGGGGGUUCAAUUCCCCCCCAGUCCACCA
rnacentral:tRNA from 1 species